GGAGGAGGAGGGGGGGGGGCCGGAGCAGGCGAGCUCUCCUUCCCGCCGCCCCGGAGCAAAAAGGCUGCGCAGGAACCCGGAGCCCGGCCGGCGGCGGAAAUGAUUCCCGGCUCGCCGGUCACCGCUCCUGCCGGCACCCCACCGAGCAGGGGCGGAUAACGCCCGCGAUGGCCCGGCCGCAACCAGCUCUCGGCCACCCCGCUCUGCGAUGCUCGGCCAGGAACCGGCGGGGAAACUGAGGCACCGGGAAGGUUGCCGGCCUCCCCCCUGCAAACCGCCACGACCGGCCCUGCAGCGAGGGAAGGGCAGAGAGGGGGACCUGGAGGAUGGGAUGAGCGGGGACACGGCCAAACCCAGCGAGAAACACCCAGCAUGCGAAGCUUCCGCCAGCCGCUGCAAACCCAGCUCCCCGCCCUGUGGCAACAGCAUCUUAGGCGUGGGGAAACUGAGGCACGCCCUGCAUGCAUCGGCCUUUACAUUUUUGGGAAGUGGGUGACAGAGCAUAACUGUGGGAGGAGCGAGCUGCCCCUGGCUAGGAAGAGACGCAACCGUGGCCGUCGCAUACAUCAAAUGAGCUUGGGUCAAUAAACCAGGUCCUUACUAGCCCCGUGCCCCACCGCUGGGCAUCACUCCCCUCCCUCCCCUGCCGCUUCCUUGCCAGCGGCUUGAGAAGGAGAAGGGAGUUGGUUUUGCGUUGCAACAAGCCACGGUUCUCAUUGCAACAAGCCUGGGUACACACAACGGGCCGGCGCUGAGACCGCUCACAUUGCUGGCAGCCCGGGGCGACGCGAUGCCCUCGUUGCCCCAACCUCUGCCAUCACCAGCCUCGGCUCCUUGAAGCUCACGAACCCUCCGCUCUUGGCCGCUGUGCCACCUCCCAUCGCUCCCCGUUUGCACAACUCCCCUCCCCGGAGAUCAAGUCGGAGCGCGCCCGCCUGUGCCGACUCAGCUCCCGAUGCGGCGGGGACGCCACGGCAGCCGGAGCAACCCCACACAAGUAAGGAAACCCCGCUGGGUUUGGGAGCACCCGCUGAUUUAAUUCUGCUUUACAAACAAGCACGGCGCAAAGGUAAGCGUGCACCCUCUUGGCGUGACCUGCCACGGCACGGGAAGGUGCAGAGCAGCAAUGCCGCUAAACCAACGCAAAGGGAGGAGGUUCUCCACGUCACGGGCGUUGCACAAGCCCCAAGCUCCCCAAAAGCGGCUCCUGGGAGCCUCCUCCGACCUGCCACGCUCCUCCCUGGCAGAGGAGACCGGUGAGCGAGCGGGAGGGCUGGGCUCCCGUCCUUGGUCCUGCUGACUCACGGUGGACCCAGCCGCAUUACUCACGCCCGCAGCGCCCGUCCUCAUCCCCAUCGCACGCAUGCGGUUGGAGGUGCUGCUCUUUAAUCCAGCGAUGCUGCCUCCAGGGGAUUCCCCUGCCCCUUCCUGCUUGAUUGAAAACCCCUUCGGAAGCGCAAGGAAAAAGGGUGCCGGUUAAUUAAAAGGCGGCGGAUGCCUCGGCUGGGUUUGCGCGGUGCAGCCGGGCUCCGAGCGCUGAGCGUGUCGGGCAGCGGUCACGCUUUUGGCUGCAGUUAAAUUGGGGUUGGGGUCUGGGUGGCCUCUCCUUGUUUUGGAGCACCCCGUUACCGCGUGCCGGUGGUGGCUGCUGCCGGGAGGGAGGUGACACGACAGGGAGCUUUGCUCGCACAGUGUCCCCUCCCGAGACAACACACGCAGAAGGCAUCAGCCCUGACGAGAGCCGGCUUUCCUGGGGAGGCUGGGAGGGAAGAGGUCGAUAACGGAGCCAGUAUCGGAGACUGGGAUUUCCACACAACCCCAGACACCCAUAUUUCUGCAUGAGGCAGUUUUGCUAAUUAGCAUGUAAGUGGCUUUUGCAAAAGAUUUGUCCGUGCACGUGGGCGCAGGGUGCUGCUGCACGCAGGAUGCCUUGGCCAGGGCUGGCUGGGGACGCUGGCCCUGCGCGGGAGGAAGACGAGGCCGGGGGAGGUAUUUUUGUCCAUUGAGCCAUCUCCUGUGGAUCCCAGCUGCCGCCUGCACUGGGGACAGGUCUGGCCCUUCAUCCCAAAUCCCAGAGGGAGCUGCUGGCCCCCUUCAGCCCUCCUUAGCCAAGACCCUUCUGCAGGGACAGGGCAGGAAGGACCGUUCCCACCCAAGCCUGGCCCAGAAGGUCUCUGCAGAUGGGGCAAGAAGGGGCUGAUCCGAACUGGAGAGCCUCCGCCAGAGGACAAACCUGCAUCUCUGGCUUCCCAAAAGCCUGGAGAUCCCACCAGGGUUAUGGCUCUGGAGCGAGCCGGCUACAGGUGGUCACCACCAAAAUCUCCCAGCUCCUUCAAGGUCGGGCUUAAAAUCCCAACAUCAUCGCCUACAAGGGCGGAAGCCGCCAGAGACUUGCAACAGAGCGUCAAGUUGGGGUCAAAAAGCACUUGAGCAUCGCCACUCAAAGGCGCCGUUCGCACCGAAACACUUCAUGGCAGUUGGUGGUUGACGAAAUGCAGCUUGACCAUAUGGAUGUUGAUGUAUAUUAUUGCCCUGAAGGCACAAGCACCUGCAGUGACUGCUGAAUAACCCAAGCCUGGUGAGAAGCAUCUCUGCAGAAGGUCAGCGAUGCAUCUCUGUACCUUUGGACAGGAGCUGGUCCUUGCAGAGCUACAUCUGACCUGGAGAACAGAGCUGUCCGUAAAACCACAUCCCACAGACCGGAACAGAAAAACCAGAUCUCCUACAAGGUCUCCUGCACCAAAAUGCCACCUACGCCCAGGAAAACUUGGUAAAACAUUUCCACGCGCCUGUGGAAACCCCCUUCCCUGUCUCUCACAAAAAAAAAAAAAAAAAAAAAAAAAAAAAAAAAAA